CUCAUCGGACGGCGGCCGUGAGAGCUGCGUUCUCAUUGGCUUCCCGCCCUGUCCGUCUCCCCUUCUCUGCAGGCCGCAGGGGGCUCAGUGAGUCGGAGCUGGAGCAGCCGCUUGGCUUGCUGAAGCUGGCGCGGGAUUUUGGGAGGGGGCUGGAGCAAGGGCCGAGAAGGAGAAGUGGGGCGGGAUGAUUCAUCCCUUUCCACCCCCACCCCCCACACGCUUCCUUCUGAGCUCGAGUGCAGUCACCCGGGAGCAGGGGGCGUGAGAACCCCUCCCAAUCGUGAGUGGGCUGCUGUUGCCUGUCGCCGGCGCUUGGGGCUUGCCUUCCAGCUCUAGUCUGCGCGCCGACCCACCCCUUCUCCUUCCGCUGCUGGCAUCAAGCUGGCACCUCCCCCGUGCCUUCCUGGGGGCUUUUGGGCUUUUCUCCAGCACUCAGAAGCAGCUGGAGCGCCCGCAUCCAUCGUGUUUGGGGGAGAUGGUUGUGUGUCAUGGCUGCAGUGCCCCCUUCUUGCGCUCCCCCCCCUCCCCGGUAGCUUUUUCCCUACUCCGAGGCAAAGGCUCAGUAUUCCUCCAAAAGCUGUACCACCAUCGCUACAUGUUUUAAAUGUGUGGAGGCCCCUACGCCUUGGAGUGAAGGUACCUAGGUUCUUCUCACCCUCCCAGCCUCUCGAAGCUCAUCCCUCAGCAUCUGGCUGGGUUUUAGAGAGGCCCCAGGAACAUUAGUUGAGUUGAAGCAGGCAGAGUUUGUGUGUUUCUGAGUGCUAUUGUUUGGAAACUAGCUAUGUGAACGAAUUGCUAUGGCAUUGCAGAUUCCAAUGUUUGAUUCCAAACGAUAUUAUCCAAUGUCACAUGCCCUUAGCAUCUACCAUAAAUUCCAGAAUAGGGGGCGGGGUGUUAUUUUUGCUUCUGUGAGGUAAUGAAGGAAUCUAAUGAUAGCCCUUGUAUUCUAACCGAUUUCUCUUUUCCCCAAAUCGUGCUAGAGAUAAUGGAUCCUGCCCCUUGCCUGCAUAACCCUUAAAUGAGGACGACGAUAGAAUCUUUGAAUCAAUAUAUCAGCCUGUUACUCAAUGGGUAGAAUCUUUGAAUCCAGUGACAUUCCAAGGAAGUAAUUUAUCUUGGGGGCACACAUAGUUAAUUUUCUGAGUGAUUCAUAAAACAAGUGACAAAAAUGGUUUUCAAGUCCCGUGGGAUCUUCCAAAUUUUCAACUUCCAGUAGAUAACGAUUAUUCAUAGCUUCAUUUAUAAUUUAAAAGCACUUUUUUUUGUCCAGGGAAAAGAAGUACUUUCUAUAAUCUUUGAUUUUUGGAGAAAUAGUACAAAUAAAUUGGAUUAUCUCGCAAAUAUAUUUUUUAGCACAAUGACUACAGUAGUUGAUCAUUGGUUGUGUGGGAGGAAGAAUUCACAUUGUUAUUUAAAACUAUGUUAGUCACAAAUCCUACAGGGUUUAUUUCUAACCCAUAUUUUAAUUAGUUGAGACCAGAGCUGCUAAGGUAUAUGCAAUCUGUUUACAGGCAAAGAGUUUCUUCAGAUUUGAUUGGGGGCAUUAUCUAUAUUAGUGCAGGAUACAAAGACUACAUUAGUCCAAAGACACUUUGCUCAUGCUAAGUGAUUGAUUCUUAAGAAAUUGGUGGAGAGGGUCAUCCACCCUUGCAUGUUACAAUACUUUCAUGCAUUUUGCAUUCGCUUGUGCAAGUCAGGGAAACCUUGGCUGGCAAAGUAAGGAGCUGUCAUUCUUCUGGAGUCUGGGCUUUGCCUACCACGGUAUACCAUGAAGGAGGUCUGGGGAUUAACUAGGGUAUGCCGUGUAAGAGGUCCAGUCAUUAGCAGACAGGCUACCCUUGGUUCACAGCAAAGGGUGGGUGGUCUGAGGGACUGUCCAAUGGUAGGAUUCAGUGUCAGGUACAAAUACCCUCAAUACGAUGCAGACUUACGGAACAGUUGAUCAAUUAGGAAAUAGCUUAAGAUGAGUUAGCGUUGGGUGUGUUUGGUCAGGAACUAGCACAUCAGUCACUCCUAGAGAGCUCUCCAAAUGGCUGCCUUUUGACUCUUCCAGACAUCAUGACUUGAGUCAGUCCCCGUAAUUAGAACAGUUAUUCCCGUUUUUCAGAUUAAUGAACUGACUUUCACGAUCCAGUACUGGUGAGGCUAGUAUUAGAACCCAAGAAAGGGAAGGUUGUAGUUCCUUUUCUUCAUUCACCAAGUAAAUACUGAGUCCAGAUUUUGUCAGGUCCCCACAUAACAAAACCUGAAAUAUUCAACUUUUGCUAUCCCACUUAGCUUCUCCGAGAGUUUACCAUUUUUAAAAUUAAUUUCUCUAUUUUUGUUAGGCCUUUGAAGAUGUCCUCUUGUGUUGUACUACUUGACCAUGAUGUACUUUAAAGCCCACCACCCCGGGUUAUCUUUAAAGGGGAAUUUAAGAAAUCUGAAUGCGAUUGGUGACAUUGUAGAAUGUCAGCCCGCUGGGAGAUUGUUUUCUGUUCCAGCUGGUGGUUGACCGUGCCCUGGAGUGUGGGAUUGCUGGUCCUGUAGUUUCAUCAUCCCUGGUAAUGACUGCAGCUGUUCUCGUUUGUGUAAAUACCGGAUACGAUCCCAUGAAACUUACCAUUCGCCCGAACGAUGUUCUUCAGCAAUGAGGAGAGCAAAUUGGAGGAGCACUGGCAGCUUUUCCACUCUUAAAGGAAAGAUGAAUGUUUUCUAAUGAAAACUACAAUUGCUUUUGUAUUUCUUAAACUGUAAUGCUUGGUGGCUAAUUCUGUAUUCUCUCUGAGUUAAAGAACAAACACAAGGAAGGAGGUAUUUUCUGGUAUCCCUCCCUGUUCUCAUUUAGAGCCAUUUGUCUUCAGAUUUGUGGGUGUGGGGAGGAGGGGGUGGUUCUUCAGCACCAUGUCCACCUCUGUGCAGUCAUGCUUCCCACCGUGAUGAUAAUGGACUAAACUUCCGUACCUGUGAGCCAGCCGCAGUGAAAUGCUGUCCUUUCUAAGAGUCACCAUGGUCAUGGCCUCUUCUGCCAAUAGAAACCUUAACUAAGACAGGACCCCAAAGUGGAAUUAGAACAAUAGCUGCUAGUGCCCAGUUUCUGGAUGAGCUCAAACCAGCUUCAGGGCCUUCUUCACUUAGGAGCCGUGCUCAGAAUACUCGAUGAUAGGGGUACUUAAGCCCAGAUUCAUAUUUAUGCAUGUUACACAUCUAGUUAUAGCAGGCUGAAUUCUGGGUAAAACGGGCUUCUAAGAAAAAAGCAUACCCCCCUUUCCUGGAAGUGCUUACCCAAGGAGAGGCACAAGGAGAAGAGACUGAAAGUCUCCCCUCUGCCAAGGAUGAGUCAUCGUUGCUCAGUUCAGCUCAUGGCCUUUUCUUUUUCUAAAGAGUGUAUUCUUGCUUCCUUGCCUGCUCCAAUUAAUCUUUUGAGAUUUGGAUCCACUGUUUCCCCUCUGAAUUCUUCUCUUUCAGGAGUAUGAGGGUCGAGUACUACUGACAUAGAGACCAGAGAAAAAUAGGGGUGUUAUGCACCUUGGAUUAGGAGAGUGCCCAUCAAUAUUGUUAACUGAGACAAGUAGUUUGCAUUGGAAUUGUUUUACUUUUGUGUUGCUGGAACAAGAAUACCUGAGAACAACUUAACAGGGAGAAAUUAUGUCUUUUUCUCACCUCACCGCUUCAGAGGCUUUGGUCUACCCUGGGUAAAAAAUGUAGCAGAAAAGAGCACUUACAUUAUGGCCGACAAGAAGCAAAAAGAGAUAGGAAGGGACCAAGGACAAGAUACCCUCAAGGACCUACUCGUGGCUUGCUUCCUCCAGGGCAUGCUUCUUGGAAAAGCCUAAUCAAGAUAAAGAGUGAGUGAGUUGGGGAGAGAGCAGGUGCGUGUUGAAAAGGGAACUUGGAGUCGUCUGGGGAUGCGGAGCAAAAGGAAGUCUCAGUUACUGCUGACGGGGACGCAAAAUACAGCGUUUUGCAGAAUUUAGCAGUUUCCUACAAGACGUUCAGACUAUCAGAACAGUUCUUCAGGGGACAUUCCCAUCCGAGUGAUUCUAAAUUAUGUCAGGAUAAGUCUAGGACUGUCAUUAUUACCAGGACACUGACGAUGAACUUGGGGACACCACUGAACCACUAUAAUAUUUCCCUCUUCCAAAUGUGGCCACACCAAGGAUUUGGAAGUCCCACAUACCCCUUCCGCCCAGCAGUUGGCCCAUGGCUUCUUUACUGAUAGAUCAAGAACCAACUGGGGAACAGGACCUUAGCAUCAGACCCACACCUACAUGAGUUUAUGUCCGUCUGCUUCCACUGUGGCCUAGAAACUCCAGAGAGUUCAUGGUCCCUUCCCUGGAAUCUGACGUAUUCAGUUUUUUGUUAAGUAUUACAAUAAAUGACAAUUUUCAAAUAACAUGAUAGGCAUUUUCUCUCCCUUGGUGAUGCAGAUAUAGGCCAGGUUAGACCAGAUUAAAAGUAGAUAAAGGCAAGUUUAUUAGGAGGAAGCUUUUAUGGGGUGAGGUGGGGGGUUCACCAAUCUCACAGGUUGAGGUCAGCAAAGUCACAAAUCCGGGCAACAAGGGGGGUUUAUAGUGUUUAGGUAUGGAUCUGGGAUGUUGUCUAUACAUGGUCAAAAACUGAGUCCCUGAGCAGGCACUCUUGGGUGGGUUGUGUAAACUCAGAGACAAGGAAUGAUGACAUGUUAACCGGGAGUUUUCUCCAAGCAGAUGGGGGAGUUUCCUCUGUGUGGGAGGGAUUUGGGGAAGGAGGCCAUACAGGGUUCCCACUUGUACUGGGGAUGAGCAGGGGUUCCAGCCUAACAGUACGGUCUAGGAAUAAGCUUAAUUUAAAGUUCCUUGUAUUAUAGUGAAAACCUAUCAUCCUUACUAAACAGAUCAGGCCUCAUCUCACUUUGAAGUGUGUCUGUUCUGGCAAAUGCUGUCUAUGGAGUUUUCCAACAAAUGGUGGAUGAACUUUUGCUUAGCUGGGCAAUUUCUACUAACGAAAGCAGUCGUUUUCAUUGAUGUUAUUGCUAGAAUAAAAACCUUUCCCUUCCAACUGAUACUUCCCAAUCAUCUCCAUUCCCCUAUUCAAGCAUCCCCCACAACCCCACUGAAGCACCCUCAUCACCAGCUGCAGGAGCUCAGAGCCCCAUCUUAGAUAAGAACCCAUCUGUGAGUCAGUGUCUCACAGUUGCUCACCUCAGCCACAGCGUGGCAUCCUCUUCAGCUCUGGAUCUGCUGACGUGUAUUUAUUUACCUGUUGGAGUUGCUGCUUCGGGUUACAUUUUAGCCUCUGAUUUACUCCUUUAGUAUUCUCAGGUACAUGUGUGCUAGGCUAGUCAUAACUGUAGUCUCUGGGGUGUUGGUGCGUGCCCUCCAUGUACAGAUAGCUUGUGAGAAUGUAUGACUUCAUCACACCCUGCGACAGAUAACACAAGUCACAGAAUAUCACACCCUCAGGUGUUAAUUCAAAUCCCUCUGGGAACCUAGAUAACAAUUGAGAAUUGCAUAACUUCCGGCUUCUUGAUUAGCAUAGACUCUGUGGGGGUGGGCAAAUGGUUUUAUGCGUAAGAGAAUUUGCUGUUUAAGCAUGGUGACUUAAAUUCAAGUCUCUGUCACCCUCUUAAAAGCCAAGGUUGGACCCAAGCCAGUUAUCUUAGAGCCGUGGAAGGUGGAGGCAGGACAGAUGGGUGAAGCUAACUCCUCGCUGGCCAGCCUCCUGAUUCAGCGGGAGAGCCUGUCUCAAGGCAGAUGGUAACAGAGGAGAACCCCAAUAUCCCCUCUGUUUUCUUUACACACGUGCACAGAUGCACACACCCAUACAACAUGUGUUCCUAUAAACCCUCACAUUCAACACAAAAAACACAAAUUUGAAAAGCAAGCAUUUUUAAACUAAGGAAAAAAUAAUGAAAUAAAAUUCAACUCAACAACAGUCAUUAAACCUAGAUGCCUAUGUAUUACAUAUAAGAGGAAAUAUUUGGCUGCCUGGUCAUUUCCCUUCUGUAUGAAUUAGACCCCACCCCCAAUCCCCAGUAAUUUCCUGAAGGAAAACCCUGAUGGUGAACUUGAUGGAGAAAAUUAGAAGUUUUGCUUCCACCAAAGGUGAAACUGGAGAGAGAACCCUACAGGCGCUAGGAGGCCAGCAUCUCCUAGUUGGCUUUUACUGAUAUGAUCAAACUUCUAUAAAUGAAGAAAUACAGAGCCAUCUUCUCUCCUGGCUUCUGGGCCUCAUCCUUUCCAGCUUCUUUCCCCAGUCCUGUCUGUGUUGUUGCUCUGUGACUAACAGGUUCCUCUGCUGUUAGACCUUACCCUCUCAACAAGGUCCAUGGCCAAUUCUAAAUGAAAACAACAUAAACAAAGUAGUAAGUGGAUUGUCAUUUAAAGGUAAGCUAUUAAUGGUGUAGGCCUUCUGGGUAGAGAUAGGAGUCUAGACAUUGUUAGCGGGUGUGUGUAGCAGCACUGCCUAAGAAUUCACAGAGAGGUCAACCACACUAAUGACUUUCCCUGGUAACAAUUCUCAUUAGAACUACUUCCUCCAAAGGAGUGUCUCAGGAAGGCAGAGCAUGUCCUCCUGAGAGCCAAAGCCAGUGAGGGAGUCAGUCAGGAGCUUCCCUUACCAUUGUUCACCCAGGGCUGAAUCCUCACUACUUUCUCUUCUCGUGCUACUGCUAUGUGCCCAUGGGUGCACACUGCUAAAUUUGCUAUUUGUUCAGAGGAAAACUUAAUUCCCAAUUUGCUUUUGGACACCAAGCUUGAUCUUAAUAACCCUGCCUGACAGUUUGUUAAAAGCUUUCUGAAUCAGGCAGGGCUAAUGGGUUUCUGUUUGCAUGCCAACUCCCAAUGAUUGAUUGGUCGUGGAUGUCUAGCAUAGGGUCUGGGAUCAGACAAAGUUUUAAAAUUCUGGAGCCGGCUCUUGGUAGUUUUGUUAACAUGGACGAGUUUCUUAUCCCCACCUAAACCUCAGUUUCCCCAUUUGGAAGGAUACUGGUGGUAUUCACUUGCUCUAGAAAGUGUACCAAAUGAGAAAUAUACCACAGGUGCAUAACACAGAACUUAGGAACACAGUUUACACCAACUGAAUGCAGCCCUGGUUAGAGGGAAGUGGUGGAGAAGUCCUGAUGUUGUUCUCCUAUUGUUCACAUAUAAGGCUCUGCCCACCUCAUCCUGAGGACUUUAGUGUGUCUCCCUGUGUGGUGACAAGCAUGACUCAGGCAAGACAAUCUCCUCAUCUGCCCCAACUCUGUUCCUUCACUUGUGAAAUGGGGCUAAGAUAGUGUCUCCCUCAUGGAUGGAUGUAGAAAUAUAAAACAGUAUUGCCAGACAAGCUCAGCCCUGUAAGCUCCCUAAAGGAGCUCCCCAGGAAGUGUGGAAGGCUGGGGCGAGGAGUAGGGGAGGGACAGUACACUCACUUAGAAAGGCUUUUUCCUGUCAGCAGCUGUCACUCAUCCCUAUGGAACAAAUGGCAGCAGGGACAAACUGGCACAUCCUGCUGCUCCUCCACGAGGUGCGGUAGUGGGUGGCAUGGUGGCUUCAUUCAUAAGCCCACCUCCACCACCUCUCUUCCACCUGUCAAAACUGCAGGGGCUGCUUAGCACCUCAUGGAAAUUCUAAUCUGCAAUAAAGUCAUCAAUAAAUACAUCUGCCCGUGCAUGCAGGCGGCAGGACACAUUUGAGAAUUCAAAAUCCUAGGUAGAGGAGGGUAUGAACGCCGUCAGCUUGUCCUGUCACCAGGCGUGAUAUCUGAACACUGUUGUCAUCACAGAGCUGUUUGGUAUCUGCCAAGCUUAGAUUUUCCUCUCAAGUGUGAAGUAGACUGUUCAAGAGAAGAAAACUUCAUCAAGCCCCAGAUAGGAGGAAAAAGCCCUGUCCUUGACUUUGUAAAGUGGAAGUUUUGGUCUCUGUAUGUUAGCAUACAGGCCUGUGCUUUGUGGCCCUAAGGGACUUUCUUGUUCCUCCUCAAACCCCUUUGGCUUUCAUUGCCUUCCUCUCCCUCCUCACAUCCCUGCUAUGUAACAGUGACAAGGAACGGCCUGCUGUGUUUGUCACACUCUGCACAGUCACUGAUGAAUUAAGUCACUGCUCAGUAGAUGAACACAAGCCUGCCUGAUGACAGAGACAGACACCUACAGGAUGCUUCCUCUGAGUGUGCACAGGGCUGGCUUUGCUGCCUAUAGUCACAGCAAGUUGGAUUGUUCUAGUAGGGAAAUGGUGCUCUAAUUGUGUUUCCUACAUCUGCGGCAAAUAAAAACUGUCAGAUGUAAGUUGUAAGUUACACACAGGGAAUAAUUCUAGUUCAGGAAAUUAAGUUAGAAGAAUCUUGGUGAAUAUAAAUGUUCUUCCGGUGAGCUUUGUUGAGAUUUGAGCCAGGCAUAUACAUAAAAUCUUACUACUCAGAGGGCUGAGCUGAGGGGAUUGUACCUGUGGUCAGCCUGGGCUAUGCGGUGAGUUCAAAACAAGCCUGUACUACAUAGUAACACUCUGCCAGAAGUUUCACUCGGAAGAGGGAGAAGAAGGAGGGAAGGGAAAGGAAGGA
rnacentral:sRNA from 1 species